GACGAACGCUGGCGGCGUGCUUAACACAUGCAAGUCGAACGGUGAAACUCCAGCUUUCUGGCGUGGAUCAGUGCCGAACGCGUGAGUGACACGUGAGCAACCUCCCCCUAUCUCUCGAAUAAGCCCUGGAAACAGCGUCUCAUACUGGAUACGAGAUAGUUCACCAUGUGCUCUUUCUGUAAAGUAUUUCUGUUUGGGAUGUGCUCGCGGGCUAUGAGCUUCUUGGUGAAGUAGUUGCUCUCAAAGCCUACGACGGGUAGCCGGCCUGAGAGAGCUACCGGGGACACUGGGACUGAGAGACGCACCAGAAGCCUACGGGAGGCAGCGGUGGGGAAUAUUGCAGAACGGGCGAAAGCCUGAUGCAGCGACGUCGCGUGCGUGAUGACGGGCUUCGGGUUGUAAACCUCUUUCAGCAGGGAAGAAGCGAUAGUGACAGUACCUGAAGAAGAAGCACCGGCUAACUACGUG
rnacentral:rRNA from 1 species